AUUCGGACCUUCGAGGACCUGACCGAGUUUACUGCACAAGAGAAAGCUGCCUUUCCUACUUGAGUUGUGGAACCUGACGACGACGGGGCUACAAAGGAGAUUUCGGAGAAACAGUUUCAAUGGAGUGAUGAUUCAGACGCCACGGCCGGGAUGAAUGAAGAUGAUAAGAUGCGCUGGCUUGCUCUGAACACACGCCCAGGCUUGUCGACACCGCUCCUUGCAGGACUUUACGAGCAACAGCGAAAGCAAGAUGAGGAUCCUUGAAGGACGACACAUGGUGAGCCAGAGCCUUAUCCCUAUCUUUAUAUAUCCAAGUUGAACUUUUGAAUAAUUCACCAGACAUCUGCUUGUGAGGAUUAUUUGUGAUUUUUGGAUUACAA